GGCUGCUCCUAGUACGAGAGGACCGGAGUGGACGCAUCACUGGUGUUCGGGUUGUCAUGCCAAUGGCACUGCCCGGUAGCUAAAUGCGGAAGAGAUAAGUGCUGAAAGCAUCUAAGCACGAAACUUGCCCCGAGAUGAGUUCUCCCUGAGACUUUAAGUCUCCUGAAGGAACGUUAAAGACGAUGACGUUGAUAGGCCGGGUGUGUAAGCGCAGCGAUGCGUUGAGCUAACCGGUACUAAUGAACCGUGAGGCUUAACCUUACAACGCCGAAG
rnacentral:rRNA from 1 species